rnacentral:misc_RNA from 1 species
CGAAGUGCGAUAAGCAAUGCGAAUUGCAGAACCGUGAGUCAUCAGAUUUUUGAACGCAACUGGCGCCGAGUGGCUCUCCACUCGGCAUGCUUGUUUCAGUGUCUCUUUAUCUCCUAACCCAUAUCAUAAUGCGAGAGAUACCCUUCUCUUGCUAAGCAUGAAAGCACUCUGCGCUCUGCGAGCGACUUCGACUUGUUCGAUGGUCGCACUCAAUGCAGCAGUCACAUUGCUCACAAUGUGAACUCAUUGAGAGCUGAGGCAGUGCAGCGUAAGCUGCCAGUGCUUAGUCACACAAACUUACUUGCAUCUGAAAUCAAGCAGGAUCACCCGCUGAACUUAAGU